AUGGCUAAGCCCAGCCCAAGCCAGGAGAGCGGAGGGCGCCUAGCUCCGGCCAGACUGGAGCGGCUGGCGCCUGGAUGUGGACCCAGCGGCGGGGAGACCCAAAGCGACUUUCGGUCCCCAAGGCGCCCGCCCGAUCCCUACAAUGAAGAGGGCGUCUGCUGGAGGUUAGUGUCCGUGGUGGGGGCCUGGGCUGGCAGUCAGGCCCUUGGAUGGGGAAACAGGCAGGUUAGUGGGAGCCUAGAAGAGGCGGAUGGGGCAGGUGGAGCCAUAGAGAUUCCUGUUCCUGAGGCCACGGUGCCAGGUGUGGCCCCCGUGGGUGCUGACUGGCGGCUGCGGGCAGGGUGGCAGGUGGGCAGUGGUGAGAAUGCCUUCUCCUUACAGGUUCCAGGCCCUGAUUUCCUGACCCUGGGGGACGACAACAUCCAUAGCCUGAACUUUGAGUCUGAGCCGAACCGGGACCUCCCUGACUAUGGGCCCGGGGACCUGCACACAGCCUACCAGCCAUCCCCGUCAUUCAGCACCUCUGAUGCCUUCUCAGCACUUUGUGCUCCCUGAGCCUCAAGGCCUCGAGCUGGCGGGGCGGGGACCACGUCGCUCUGCAGCCCCUGCGCUCCGAGGGUGAACCCCCCCAUGCCCCACUGUAGCAUCUUUGCCCCCAUGCACUGCCCAACGGCAACAGCAGCCUGUCCUAUGAUAGCGUGCUCAACCCUGACCCACCUGGUGGCCAUGCCUGCCCCGCCCAUCCAGCAGUUGGCGUGGCCAGAUACCACUGACCCUACCUGCACCCUAGGGCAACGGGUGGCCCACCACGGCCCCUGCCCCGCAGCUUCAGCCCCAUGCUGGGCCGCCGGCCCCCAGAGCCCUCACCUGUGUACUACAACAACCUGUCCAGGGCCAUCAUGGCAUCCAUCCAGGAGCACAAGGACAGGGAGGAGCAUGAGUGCCUGCUGCGCUCCCAGGCCAACUCACUCUUUGGCGACUUGGGCAUCUAUGAUGCGCCCAGCUUCUAUACCCUGCAGCAGGCCAGUGUGCCGUGCCAGGGCCCCCGAGGUUCCACACUGCGUUACGGCUCCAGAGAGGACCCUGUGGCUGGGCCUGGCUUCGGCGGUGCCCGCAACCCUGCCCUGCAGACAUCACUGUCCUUGCUGUCCAGCUCCGUGAGCCGUGCACCUCGGAUGUCGUCCUCCCUGCAGGCUGAUAAGGCCAGCAGCCAUGCCCUGGGGCCCUGGUUCAUCAGUGACUCACACAGGUCAGUCACACUCCAGGGCCUGCCCUCCCUGACAGGCACUCCUGACUCACCGUCCUACGCAGGCCCCAAAGCUGUCGCCUUCAUCCACACGGACCUCCCAGAGCCACCGCCCUCGCUGGCCGUGCAGAGGUGAACCCUCCGAGCCCAGAGGGCAGGGACUGCCCUGGGCCCCCACGACAUGGUUACACCAGUCCACGUCCGUGUCGUCGAUGUCCUGCUGCCUCCUCCGUCCUCUGUCCCGAUGCGUUCCUGUGUUCACCGUGUGCAUGCGUGUAUGUGCGUGUUUUGAUGCAGGGACCACCCUCAGGUGAAGACUCCCCCAGGUAAGCUUAAUGGGCAGUCCCCGGGCCUGGCCCGGCUGGGACCUACCACCGGCCCCCCAGGGCCCUCUGCCAGCCCUACACAGCACACGCGGAUUAAGAAGGUGUCCGGCGUGGGUGGGACCACGUACAAGAUCUCGGUGUGAGGACUGACCACCACCCAUCUGCUGUGGUGCCACGGGGACCAGGACCCCACAGUGCAUCCCCCUCCCCACCAUCUUCUCUGCCCCAGGAACACGAGGCCACCCUAGCCUGAUAUGGACCCAUCAGCGGGAGAGAGUGCCACGCCUCCACACCUUGCCCCAGGCGCCCUGCCUGCCCAUCCACUCAUCUGGCCAUGGGGAAGUUGGCUCACUGGGACAAGGGCCGCUGGGCUGGUCUGUGUCUGGGCCUGUCCCAUGGCUAGGGCAGUGAAGGGGGCCUAGUCAGCCUCUUUGGGGCACCCUCUCUCAGCCAGGCUUGGCCCACUCCCAUCACCCAUGCACCCCAGAUCAUCGCCAGGCCAGCCCCCAACGGUCCCUUUACGGCCGGGUCCCAGGGAUGGACAGAGGCAUCCAGGGCCUCCGCCGUCCUUCCGACACAGCCUGUGGGCUCCCGGACCGAGUGUCCCCCGCCAGGCUACUCCUAACUAACGCGUUGCCUUUCAUGGACCCCGCUGGGAGCUCGUAGCU